rnacentral:lncRNA from 1 species
CUUUGACUCUUCGGGUAUAAAGAGUUGAAGAUGCUGAGGUCACUCCCUCGUUAAAGACAAUCCUGCAACUGGAAGGCAACUCCCUGGGGAAGGUCUGUAAGUUCAAACCUUACUAUUAGGUUCUCAGCUGUGACAGUG